UUCGGCAAUCGCAAUGCAUCUCCGCCGAAAUCUACUUCCCGAACACAUGGAGAGAUAAUAAAAAACGAUUGUACUUGUAGUGAGUGGGGCUAUGGCUUGCGGUAUUGCUGUCUCGUAGGUGCAUGUUUAUUGAGUCUCGAAAUUAGCUCGAUGUCGAGCAAAAUAGCGCUUUGUCAAGCUCGACUACCACCAUAUCCAACUACUUGCUGUAAUUGUUUAGGAUUUUACUGCACAACUCAAUUUCCGUCUUUUUUCAAUGGUUCUGGAAGACAGAUUUCUGCAAACGAUGCACCUAGACCCCGCACAACGUGUUGGAUUCUGUGCUUUGCUGGUUACAUCCUAGACUGUGAGAGUGGUGACAGGAUGCCAAAUUUUCGUGAAGUAAAGGUGGUUCAAUAUGUAUAAGCUUGCAAUGACCUUUAGAGUUGAAAGUACGUUAAAUAUACGUUUGUCUCCAGUAUGCCUCAGCUUGAAGUAGAUGGUAUCAUUGGCAUAGAUAUGAGGCAGUGCCAUCACUCACAUGGAUGUUGUUCUUCGUCGUGAACCAAUCCAUGCUCAUCAAGGCGACGCAAAUAAUGAUCACAGUGUUGAUAAGAGAAUUUGCACACUCCUUGCUGUUACUUGUCCUAAAACCAGUUGCUGUACUUCUUGAAACAUAUUCUCGAUCAGUAUGGGUUUGCUGCUCACGCAUCUCAUAGAAUUAGGUUUAUCAACAAGAUUAGACCUCAUGUUUGGUGACGAGUGUGAUGCUGCGUCUACAUUAUACAUACUCAAGCUGCUGUAGCAUUUCCCUGGCGUCUCAAUCUCUGUACGUAAAUUCAUCAGCCUGUUGAAGGAAACCGUGUGUUGACGCUUGAUGCAGAGAGGAGUCUGGUGAUUGCAUCCUGCUGAGACGGGACGAUUGUUGCAGGUGUUUGUCGUUGCCUUUGGUCACUAAACGUGGAACGUUUAUUUGCAAACCUAGAAAGCUGUUCAUUACGCUUGAGCUUAAGAAGAUUCUGAGUUCUUCAUUUACAAUAAAAUUUGUUUAUACAUAUUUGCAUAUCCAACUCAGACUUGGAGGUGGGAUACUUCAGAGAGUUUCAAAAAUCCCUGAUUUACCAAGGGUCUCCCCUCCACGAUGAAGCCCAUGCUAAGCCAUGACAAUGAGUUUGAAAUCGCCGUGAUUGCAAAAUUAGAUUAGUAGCGCAGCUCUCAUCACCGCAGACAUUAUUGCCUCAUACUGCAAUGACGUGUAAUGUUGUCGAGAGCAUUCCGAACUUGCGGUCUGCCAAACAGGCUGUCACCAUGUUGCCAACAAUCGUUUGCUGCGAUUGCACGCAAAUGCCACAGCAGGCUCAGGCUCCGAGACGCUCAUGGAGUUCCCUUACAGGGCGCACACUAAUCUUCAGCAGUGCAAUGUCAGUAGCAUGCUGGGUUGGAUCUCUCGACUAAUACCAUUUGAGAAGCGGUCACCACGUUUCGGCUCAACCUCAGUGACCAAUGGCAAUUGUAGAAUAAUCGUCAGUAUCAUGCCACCGAAAGUGCUCCAUAUAAUAGGAAUUCGAAAGGAAAACCUUAAGGAAGACUAAUGUCUCUGUAGAGCUGCUCGACUGUAUGUUGUUUACUCUCAGAUACGAAGGAAAUCCAAAUGAGAUGGAUUACUGUGCUAAGACAUUGACAUGGAUGACAGAAUUGCCCCGAUUCUUGGAUUGUUAGUCGAUUGGAAGGUAAUGAAUGUAAGUUUUACUGUUUUCAUUUCAGAUUAUAUUUAUAUGUUAUGGGGCAUCACGGAAGGAAGCGUUGAGAUGGAGAAUGCCAGACAUCACGUGCACGAUCGAAAUGCUGAGAAGUUGAAGAAUCUGUUUUUCAAAAAUGGAGGGAUCUAUAUCUAGUUAGGCCAAUACAUUGGUCAACUGGUGAUUUAUUUGUUUGCCAUAAAAUUACGAAACUUGAAUAUUAUUGAUGCGUUAUUUUUAGACAUGGAAGUUUGGGUCUUUUGGAACUACGGUAGCCUUCACUGUCCGAAGUCUUCAAAGUUAUGUGGUAUUUUCCUUAGAAUUCUGACGGUUGGAACUCUGUGUGCUGGUUCAUGAAUUUGUUCAAACCAUGCGAUCUUCAACACUAAACAAGUGUCCAAAUCAAACGAUCCAGCAAGUUCGGGACGUAUUUAUGGCUGAGCUUGGUCUCUAUCCCAAUGAUUGACCGAGUUCAGUGUCUUUUGUUUCUUCCUGGCGGUAUUUGCUGAGUUCUCGAAGGUUCCUCUGGCCAGUACAUCACUUGCCCAAGUCCACUUAGCUCGUCUUUUUGAUGGUAGAAAAGUUGCUGUGAAGGUGCAACAUACGCAUUUGACAGACACAUCACAAGCGGACAUCCAUACGGUGAACUUCAUUGUUCAUGUUGGCCACAGGCUAUUCCCUGAACUUGAUUACAGGCAUGAACCAUGGAUCAUCCUGGUCAGCAUUACACACACACACACAUAUCUGUAUAUAUAUAUAUAUAUAUAUAUAUACACAGCUCUUCUUUGAACUGUAUUUUACGUCAGGGAGCAUAUUUUGAGUUUGUAUGAAAAGAUUUGUACCACUGAUGAAGGAAUAAGUGCCUUGACAACAUGUGGCUAGUAGCAGAAAUGCAAGAAAGUCUGCCUCAAGUAAGUUCCAUGUUUAUUUUAAGAUAAUCAUUCCAAACAUUCAUAUAGAUGUUAUCUUUAUAUCUUUAAAGCUAGACGGGAAUUCAAUGAUACAUUCUGACUAAAUUUUGUCACCUAGGAAGAGUCUUUUCAAUUCUCUGACUGUAAUCUUUGUCCAUGACGUUUCACAUGACAAUAGAAUACAAGCAUAAAUUGAAGCUCUUACUCUCUUCAGGAGGUAGAUUUCAUGAGGGAAGGCAAGAAUGCGCAGCAAUGUGUCAAAAAAAUUGCGAAAAUGUCUCCUCCUAUUGCACCAUACAUAGCUGUUCCUGAAGUAUAUUGGGAAAUUAGCACUCGUCUCAUGUGCAUGGAAUUCAUGGGCGGCAUGGCCGUUUCGGAUUCGAAAGCCAUGAAAGAAGUUGGAAUCAAACCCCAAGAGGUUGCCGAAUUGAUUAGCGAGACUUUUGCGGAGAUGAUUUUUCACCAUGGAUUUGUGCAUUGAGAUCUUCAUGCAGCAAAUAUGAUGCUCCGAGUUAAACCUGGUAACUAAUCUGUUUUAUCUACGUAACUGACACUCACCCUGCGAAAGCUUUCUUCUGAAGUACCGAGAAUACAAUGAAACAUUCGACGAGUACUAAAAAUACUCCACAAUUGAUAUUGUUGGACCAUGGCUUGCAUAAGACUCUGGUUCCUGAGCUUCGUGCCAAUUAUGCAGGUUUAUGGAAGGUCAUCUCCUGCCACUUCGUCUGAAAUUUGAGAUUGGGAUCAAUGGACACAACAAUUAAAAGUCCUUUUUAAAAAUAAAAAAAAACCACACUUGGUUUGCUUUUACGCGUGAUGUGGUAUGAUCUUUGCAGUCUUUAGUUUUCGCCAACGUGGAUGGGAUCGAGUCUUACAGCCUGAAACUGGGAGCCGGAGAAGAUUACACAUUGUUUGCAUCAGUUAUGACGAUGCGUCCUUGGCG